UCUACACCAGGGCCACGUUCAGCCCGAACAAAACAUAGCAACACGCUGCGUGCGUUGAACACCCUGAUGUGCGCAAGCGCCCCCAGCGGACGUCGUACUACACUGUUGAAAACGGUUGAAAAGCCUCGGAAGCAACUCCCAAAAAUGGCGGAGAGACUAGGACGACUGAUAAGUGUCUGAAUGUACGAUUCUCUAUGACCUCUCGUAUACAGCUAUAAAUAGAAAGGCUGCUGCCAGGAGAGAAGUUGCCCAGAACGUUGACAUGUCAGCUGUCCUUUCAGGCAAAGCUGCAACCCUCCUCCUCCCCUUCCACCUCCAGUCACCAUCACCCACGGCACCCUGGGUCCUCCUCCGGCGGUCCUCUCCCGUCGGCUCCUUCUGUCCAGUUUCGGGCUCCUUCACCACCACCACCAGUGUCUAGACUCCAUUGGGAAGGGAUAUGUCUUGGCUUCUCUACCCCUUUAAAAAUCGUUUUUAAAACGAUGGAGUCUAAUCUCCAAAGAAGAUUCCAAUCAGCGCACCUGCUACUCAUCCUGCUCCAUCAUCUGCCUUCAAAUUCCAGUCUGACUUUCCUCUCCCUGCCGGAUUGUUGCUUACCACUGAAAAUAACCCACCCAGAGCCAGGACCCCAAGCCAUCUUUGGACCCAGCACCCCCACUGCCAGCCCGCACUUACUGCUUCAAUAAAAUAA